rnacentral:rRNA from 1 species
CCUACGGGUGGCAGCAGUGGGGAAUAUUGCACAAUGGGGGAAACCCUGAUGCAGCGACGCCGCGUGAGUGAAGAAGUAAUUCGUUAUGUAAAGCUCUAUCAGCAGGGAAGAAAAUGACGGUACGCGAGCAAGAAGCCCCGGCUAACUACGUGCCAGCAGCCGCGGUAAUACGGAGGGGGCAAGCGUUAUCCGGAUUUACUGGGUGUAAAGGGAGCGUAGACGGCAGUGCAAGUAUGGAGUGAAAGGCGGGGGGUCAACCCCCGGACUGCUGUGGAAACUGUACGGCUGGAGUGCGGGAGAGGUAAGUGGAAUUCCUAGUGUAGCGGUGAAAUGCGUAGAUAUUAGGAAGAACACCAGUGGCGAAGGCAGCUUGCUGGACUGUAACUGACGUUGAGGCUCGAAAGCGUGGGGAGCGAACAGGAUUAGAUACCCGAGUAGUC